rnacentral:tRNA from 1 species
CGGCUCGUUGUUGUGCGUGCCGGGCUUUUUGAUUGAAUACUUGACGGAAGACUGAACCGUUAAUGGUUGCGGGGGUAGGAUUUGAACCUACGACCUUCGGGUUAUGAGCCCGACGAGCUGC